GACGAACGCUGGCGGCGUGCUCAACACAUGCAAGUCGAGCGGUAAGGCCCUUUCGGGGGUACACGAGCGGCGAACGGGUGAGUAACACGUGGGUGACCUGCCCUCAGCUCUGGGAUAAGCCUGGGAAACCGGGUCUAAUACCGGAUAUGACUCCAUGACGCAUGUUGUGGGGUGGAAAGCCUUGUGCGGCUGAGGAUGGGCCCGCGGCCUAUCAGCUUGUUGGUGGGGUGAUGGCCUACCAAGGCGACGACGGGUAGCCGGCCUGAGAGGGCGACCGGCCACACUGGGACUGAGACACGGCCCAGACUCCUACGGGAGGGCAGCAGUGGGGAAGUCUUGCGCAAUGGGCGAAAGCCUGACGCAGCGACGCCGCGUGAGGGAUGACGGCCU
rnacentral:rRNA from 1 species